AAACCUGCAACUACUCAAAGUCU
rnacentral:snRNA from 1 species